UUUGGUAAUUUUUAAAAACUUUUGGAAGGGUUUUUUUUUUCCAUUUCUUUCUCUUUUUGGGGGAGAGACUACCUACUGGUGUUUGGAUGAAGUAGUUUGGGCAGUGGGGCUUUUCUCUGGGUGGGUCUCAGCCUUUUUGUAAAGUUCUGGAUGAGAGAAAGAGUUUGGGGAACUUCCACAGUUGCUCUUCUCUGACAGUCAAAAAGCAUAUCAAGCCCCUCGACAGCAAAGAAGAAAUAAGCAAGCAUCCUCCCUUGGGUAGCCAAGGUUCAUGUCUGCUAACCACAAGCCUGCUAACCAAAUAAGAUUACUAGACAAAGAAAUGUUUUUGUGGAGGAUAAUACACAACAUGGCCAAAGGAUUGAACAGCCCAAGGAGAGAGCACCAUUUGUAUAUUCUGCAUACAAGCAUAGCCAGGACCUCAAAGGAGAGAAGACAUGUGAUGGGAACACGCCGUGAAUAGGGAAGACUCAUUGAGUUAUAAGGAAUUAUUGAAAAAAGAAAUAACUGAAUAAAAGGAUGCCGCUUCCAUGAUAUAAAGGUUGCCUUUCAGGCUAAAGCUUUGAACGCAUUAAGGAGAAACUUCAGCUCAUGGCUGCAAUGCACUCAGCUCUUAGGUGAGAUGAAGCAGUCUUUUGAUGGAACAAGAUGGCACAGGGUGUGUAUGAAAUCAGCAAUCUGAGAUGUGGUCACAGAAGUGGAAUUGUAGGCUGCUCCUUUGAAGUUUAGGAGUUUAAGAACCCUUAUUUUGAGAUGCCGGCUUUAAAGCAUCAUGCUGACCUGAAUGCUAUUUUCAUGACAUUGAUGUGUCACAGCAGACAAACAUUUUCAUGGCACUUAGAUUAUUUUUUAAGGCAUGGUUCUUACCUCAGGGAAUUUAUGGUUUCAUAGUUUCAUAAUUUCAUAGGUGUUAGGGGCUGGAAGGGGCCAUAUAGAUCAUCAGGUCCAGCCCCCCUGCACUUGGUUGAAGUUUGGCAAACCUACGAAAUGACAUGUAAUGAAAGGAUAAAGGAAAGAAGAAUGGGGAUAAAAAUAAAACCACUGUUGAGACUUUCCAAAGUUUCUGGUAGGUUUUGACAUGCAUCUUCCAUUCAUGUGGCAGCUUUGAAAAUGUCAUUAUGUUGCAUGUGGACAAUGACUUUAUUAUUAAACUGAAGCUGAGUUUAACAAAGUAGAUAAACUUACAAGUGGAGGCCAGUAAAAUAAGCUGGAAAAAGUUAAUUUGGAGAACAAGAAUUAAGACGCUUGUACAAAUGGAAACCAGUGGGGCAUAUUAUAUUGAACCUAAUGGGAGUUAUGUCAGUCCCAGAAGAAGAGGUGUUCUUUCAAGUAUGAAGUGAACAAUGUAAGAGAAGAUGGGAGGUUAUGGAAGGAAGAGAUUAAGGGCCCUAGAAAAUAGAAAUAUUCUGCAUAUGGGGCACAAGAUGGGGAACAGGUGGGAAUGGCUUGAUUGUUCAGGAGCAUAAGAUUUUUGAGGCUAACCUUGCUUUGGCUUUGAAACCUGUGCUCCAUAUCCUAAAAUAAACCUAAGUAUAUUGACAGACUGGAGCUACCACUUUCUUUGCCCAUUUCUGCUUUACUAAAGCUCAGCCAUCAUUAAAAGCAAAUUGGGAAAUGUAAAUUCAACUGCUUUGAGUUUACCAGGAAAACAAACAUAUAAAUCAAAUUAAAUAUAUUUGUUCAGGUUGGCAACGCGGUUCUUACUCUAUACAACAAGAUGCCAUUAAAGAUCCAAGUCAUGCUGA